AAAUGGUCCAAACAUUUUUACUGGAUUACAAUUUAUACCAAAUGUAGUUAACCAAUAUGCAAAUCAGACAGCAUGUAGAUAAGGUGGCUGUUAAAGAAUGACUGUUUGGAGCUGUUUCCCAAGGUGAUUCUACCACAGCUGUCUUAUCACUGCAAUGCAGCAGAUUUUAUGCUCAGUAGGCUUGCCUCUUGUUACAACUAACUUUGAUUGUAAAAACAAAGAAGGUGUCUCAUUGUUUAUUUGUUCGUUUUUUUUCUUUUCUGUUGGAAACACAGCUCCCUUCAGUAACUUAUUCUGCAACAUAUAUAACAUAACAACAAAUAUAACAAAUUUAUAUACAGAAAAUAACAUAUACAGAACAAAACAUAUACAGAACAUAUACAGAACAUAACAAAUCUAACAAACUAACUUUAAAAAUGAACACUAGUAAUAGGAACUUCAUUGAACAGUAAAUUCAAUGAAGUAGGAAAUCAGGCUUCGUUAGUUCCAAGGUUCACAAGGCUGUUUAAUGUAUAGUGCCUCAGGCUGGAUCAGAAUUUCUCAGAGCCUUUCCUAAAAUGUUAGCACAAACUGAAAGCCUCGGCAGAACUCUGAUGGUGGAAGGGAGGUGAUAGAAACAUGUGAUGGGUGAAAUCCAAGGUUAUUCAGGGGAAGAUUUGGGGAGCUUAUAUUAUGUCGUCACAAUACUAUUUAAGCCAGUGGAAAUAACUGGAAGACUUCCCAAUCUUCACGAAGUAAAGAACUGUCAGAAGAAGGCAUCAACAACUGUUGUACUAGCUUACCAUGUAAUAAAUGUGAUGACUAUUUUGGUAUGCUUUUUGGUUAGCUAGAAAGAAACUAAAUUUCCAAAUGAGUCCACAUUUGUUGACAAAAACCAGUACAACAGCUGUCAAUCCAGUGGGACUGUAGCUCACAGCAAACAUUCAAACUUCAGUGUGUCAAUUCCAAUUUUCCAGCUGAGAGCACAUAGACAGCAUUACUUUUACUUUUGCCUGAUGGUGAGAAUAAAAUUCAACAUGCCUGCAGGGUUUGUAUAACACCUUUCAGAGCUUGCAUAGCAUCUAUCAAGUGGCCACUAGCACUGCAGGAUCAGAAAACAUUUAUUUGUCUGUCCAGUGUCCAGUGAGAAGCUUCAAUGCAAAUUCCAAGUAUCAGACCCAUUAGACAAAGCAAACAGGUUGGUUAGAAAAGAGGCAGCUAAGCAUAACAGUCCUGUAGGAAACCAUUUCAUGCGCUCAGAAAAUGUUUUAUUCUUUAACCACUAUCUGGGAAAGGAGUUGACAGCAGGAUAUGAUCAGUGGACAGAUCUUCUAUUCACAGUCCAGGAAUGAGAUUGUUUAAUUCAUACAGACAAAAGGGCUGCAAAAUGCAAUGUGAACCCUCUAAUUACAAAAAGAUUUCUUUUGUAUGGGAACUUUUUUGUAUUUUAAAGAUACAUGCAUCCAGCAAGUCUGAUCUUGCAGCUACUUGUCCUGCUUUUUCCUUUUCCCCCUCCACUCUCCAUCCCAUUCACUUCAUUUUUGUUUUCACAGUCAGAAGCUAUUCAAAUAUCUAAAUCCAUCAAAGAUCAUAUGUUGUUCUUUACUUUGGCAUAUAGCCAAUAUUCUGAUUAUUUUGGACAUAGCCAUUCAUACCAUUAUUGCUUCUGACAAAAUAAAUGAUAAUCACUGCUCAUUUGUCUUCUAGUAUUAAAGCUGUGUAAAUUGGAUGAUGACACUGUUCAAGUGAAAACAUAUUUUGUCAGUUCCUGAUUAUUAUUCAUUUCCACAGUGGCUUCUCAUCAGAAAGUGGUGUCCACACAUUGAUGAAAAGUGAGCCUAAAUUUGGAAUUCUGUUAGUGUGUACUUAUGAAUGCUUAUGUCGUUGCCAAGGGCUAUUGGGAAGAUAUUAAUUCUCCAACCAUUACCUUUUAAUACCUUUUAUUUAUAGCAAGCAAACUUUGAACCAGAUGCUAUUCUUGGUGAUAAUUUGAAACUAGGUCAGUUUAGGCACACCUGAAUUUUCAACAGUAACCAAACAGAAAUUCACCCUUUAAUUAGGCCUGCACUUCAAGACUGAUUCACAAAAGUGUCUGUCUAGUGCAGUAACACUGAAGCUUCCUAGUAGUGUAGUCAGCCAGAGACCCAGCUUCUUAUCUGCACUGCAAAAAAUUAUUAAAUUAGUGAGUGUUUUAGACAAAAUGAUAACAGCUUAAAAGGGAAUCAAAAGAAUCUAUUGAAGGAUUUUCUAUAACUCAGUGAGAAGCUCUUGAAAAAUAGAGGGAACCAAGUUUCAAGUCUCCAUUCUCAGUCAAGAAGAGGGAAUUUUAAUGGCUCUUUCCUAUGUAAUUUGAAAUCUCAUCAUAGCUUCUAGAGAGAGUAACCUUUAAUAUAACAAUCUGUUUAGUAUAAGUAAAGAGCAUACAUCAGUCCCACACUUUGCCUUUAUUCAUCUUUUCCAUCUGAUUUCUGCUCAUAACUUCUGUCAGCAAGCACCACAUCUCCCUUCCUUUCUCCAAGCAAAAGAAUAAACAUAUAAAUACUGUUUUAAGGAUAGCUUUGUCUAUACAUUUUCACGAUCCAUUAACAUUUUUUACCUUUCUUACAAAACAGACAAACAAAACCCCUGUGAAGUUACUCAUCCAGUGUUUUCAAAACUAGAUUUCCAAGGUUUCAAAACACAUGGUAAUUUUGUUGGGGGAAAAUGUAGGGCAAAUGACAUUUAAAGAGUGAUUACUUGUGAAAGAAUUUUAGGUGAGUGCCUUAAGAGCUGCAUAAAACAGCACAGAGAAAAAAUCUGCAACAUUUGCAGGAAUUAGUGAAACAUGAGGAAGCAGAUCUAGUUGUUUUGUGUUUAAAGUAAUUGGCAAGCCAGUGUCAUGAUCAGUAUAAUGAGUCAAAGUUCUCUGUUACUAUGAGAAUAGUGGGAGCAUGAAGGCAUAAGGUAAAUUGCCAUUUGUUAAAACUGGCAAACAUUCUCAUCCAAAUUGAUUUAAACAGGUUACACCAAGUCCCCAGUCAACCAUCUCCCUCCAAUAUGUAUCUCUCCUUUUGCAGAAGUCAAGAACAGAGAAGGCUAAAAAUUUUGCUAGGCACCGUCUGAACUUCAGCCAGUCAUGAUUUCUCACACUUAAUGAGUGUUCCAGAUGGAGAAAAUUCCAGAACAAUGUUGAAGCUGUUAAAUCACAUGUGCAUUAUUGUGUUUAGUGCUAAAACUGGGCCAUAUGUGUAACAAUAUGAGGAGUUACUUGCUGCUCAGCAUUAGAUGCAAAGAAACAAAUGAAACAAACAAAAUAAUUAGGUAAAGAUCAGGUAAAAAAUUAUUGUGUAGAAUGAAUUUAUAUGACCUUGAGUUUCUAAUUGAGGGGGAUAAUAAACUUGCAUUUUUCUAAAAUGACUUAGUGGCUUUAGACACUUCGGGAGUCACUUAACAGCAGUCUGAAUCCCUCAUGUAUGUAUUAUUGAAGAGCUCUGUUGCCUGCAGCAUCAUGUUUCUCUGCCAUUUUCUGCAAUUCUCAAGCCUGUCUUGCUGUGAGGAGGACUCUAAUAGUUCUGCAUCACCAUAAUUACCUAAAUCCCAAGCAUGCACUGAUGAAGGAUGUUAACUGUGUUGCGGAGAAUAAAUGGAGAUAGUUGCAAAUGGCAAAUUACAGAUUACUAAAUAAGCAAUGCCUGAAUGGUCUUUAAAAUGAAGACUCUCCCAUACUUCAAAAAAAUAAUCUAUUUUUACCAUUUUUAUUGCUACAUUAAACUAAAAAGCAAAUUAAUGCAAAGCAACCACUUCAGGCAAAGAAAAUUUACUCUAAUGGAUUUAGCUAGGUAUAAACAGUCACAGCACUGGAGAUCUCUUAUCCAUACUUCUUACAUUAAGCCACAUGAAAAUUGAUGUCAAAUCUUACCUGUUUAGUAAUUAAAAAAUAAAUAAAUAAAAUUAUAAAUCUUACUUAACGUCAAGAAUUUCACAGUGGUUGCAUUCAGUAAGGACUAGUCAAUUUGUGAUUAGUCUAUAGACAGAUAAGACCUUUUUGUCUCACUCCAAUUUAUAGGAGGGAGAGGAGGUUCUUUGAUAUAUGUAUACCCAGUGUGAGAUUAAGAAACAACGGUUCAAAUGCUGGUCUGACCAGUUCAUUACAAAUCUUAAUAAGGGAGAUGGGGAAGGGGAGGAUGGACACAAUUACAGAUUGGGGUGAUGGGGAAGGGAAGAAAGGCAGUAGAAAAUAUAGGAAAUAGAAGCAAGGAAUCUCUAUAGGAAGCAUGAGGGAGAUAGUCACCACCAUGGGUCCAACGUGGUUCAUAGUUCAGUCAUUGAUCUUCAGACGUGGUGGGUCAUUGGGCAUUGUUGCUCUGUUGAUGAUGAUGGCGACCAUGGCGAGAAUUUCCAAUGGCAGUA
ensembl:lncRNA